rnacentral:tRNA from 2 species
GCCCGGGUGGCGGAAUCGGUAGACGCAGCGGACUUAAAAUCCGUUGUCCGUAAGGACGUGGGGGUUCAAGUCCCCCCCCGGGCACCA